rnacentral:rRNA from 1 species
ACGACCAUACCACAUUGAAAACACCGGUUCUCGUCCGAUCACCGAAGUUAAGCAAUGUCUGGCCCGGUCAGUACUUGGGAGGGUGACCACCUGGGAACAUGGGUGCUGUAGGCU